rnacentral:tRNA from 1 species
UUCCUGGAGGAUUAGUGGUUAGGCCAAAGCGCUCUCACCGCUGCAGCCCGGGUUCAAUUCCCAGCCAGGGAG